UACGUAGGGUGCAAGCGUUUGUCCGGAAUUAUUGGGCGUAAAGAGCUCGUAGGCGGUUUGUCGCGUCUGCUGUGGAAACCCGAGGCUCAACCUCGGGCCUGCAGUGGGUACGGGCAGACUAGAGUGCGGUAGGGGAGAUUGGAAUUCCUGGUGUAGCGGUGGAAUGCGCAGAUAUCAGGAGGAACACCAAUGGCGAAGGCAGAUCUCUGGGCCGUAACUGACGCUGAGGAGCGAAAGCAUGGGGAGCGAACAGG
rnacentral:rRNA from 1 species